GACCGCGCCUCCGCGGGGCGCCCUGGCUGGCUGGGCUGCAGGGGUUCGACGGCCAUGCAGCUCCUGCGUCCCUCCUCCCUCCGCCCUGCGUGACCAGCCCGCUUUGGAGAGCGCGCAAGCCUCCCGCCCCCUUCACACACAGAGAGAAAGAGAGAGAGGAAGAGAAAGAGAGGAAGGAAGAUACCACCUGCUAAUGCAGUCUCUAAUUGGCAAGCCAGAGUUCUUUCUCUUCCUAAGAAUGACCCAAGAGAAUGCUGGGUUUCAGGACCAUCACUCCCAUUCCUGGCUUCUCAGUUGCCAUCCCUGUGCCUCAAAGGGAGGCACCAUCAAGCAGCAUGAAUGGGGUUGCAGUCCUGUUUCCUGACCUGAGACGCCCACACACCAGGAAAAGUCAGUACCUUUUAUGCAACUCGUCACCCCGCCUCCUGUUUACAAGCACAGCAGAGCUGGUGUCAAGCAGGAGGGUUGGCGAGGACAGGGAUAUAAAAAGAAACAGAAUGCUGGGAACUUGGGUGGUCUUGAGUAAGUCCUUACACUUUUCUUCAAGCCUGUUUCCCUGAAUCUGAAAUGUGUGUAACAGAACUGAGUACAAUUAGGAGCCGUGUUCAGGCAACAUGGGAUACUAGAGUUGGGAGUAGAGCUCUGCACUGGACAGAAAUCUUGCUCACAGGCAGUUAUGUUUUACAAGGGGCACUGAGCUUAUGGAAUGAGACUUCUACACCACAGAUAACCUGGUCUGCUCUCCUCCUUUACAGAGGAAUCAAGUCUGCAUAUGCUUUUCCUAGUAUGAACGACCACCUGCUUAAUGUCAAAAUGAAACCCCAGUCACUCAUCUUUCCAGCACACCAUGCUGUUUCUUUUGCUUUAGGACCACUUGAAAACAUCUACGUAAGGACAGAGCUGUUUUGCUUCCAAACCAAAAACUGAGGGUUAUCCAAAACAUGUA